UGCAGAGGGUGCAAGCGUUAAUCGGAAUUACUGGGCGUAAAGCGUGCGUAGACGGUUACAUAAGUCGGGUGUGAAAGCCCCGGGCUCAACCUGGGAAUUGCAUUCGAGACUGCGUAGCUAGGGUGCGGAAGAGGGAAGCGGAAUUUCCGGUGUAGCGGUGAAAUGCGUAGAUAUCGGAAGGAACACCAGUGGCGAAAGCGGCUUCCUGGUCCAGCACCGACGUUCAGGCACGAAAGCGUGGGGGAGCAAACAGGAUUAGAUACCCUGGUAGUCCACGCCAUAAACGAUGAGAACUAGACGUUGAAGGGGUAAGCCCUCCAGUGUCGUAGCUAACGCGCUAAGUUCUCCGCCUGGGGAGUACGGCCGCAAGGUUGAAACUCA
rnacentral:rRNA from 1 species